AGGAAAGAGAACUGGCAGCCGGUAAGGAGUCCCAGUACACCAAGGGGUUAAACUUAGAGGUGGGAAUGCUGCGUACUAGACUUGAAUGGACCACGUAUCAUAUCAUAUCGUAAUGUAUCAUAUUGUACCAUUUUGUAUCGUGUCGUGUCAUAUCGUAUUGUAAUGUAUCAUAUAGUAAGGUAUUGUAUCGUAAUGUAUCAUAUUGUAUUGUAUCGUAUUGUGUCAUAUUGUAUCGUAUCAAAAUGUAUCAUAUUGUAUCAUAUUGUAUCAUAUUGUAUCACAUAAUAUCAUAUCGUGUCAUAUCAUAUCCUAUCGUAUCAUAUCGUAUUGUAUCGUACAGUAUUGUAUUGAAUAGUAAUGUAUCGUAUCAUAAAUGUAUCAUAUUGUAUAGUAUUGUAUCGUAAUUUAUUAUAUUGUAUCUUGUCAUAUCAUAUCUUGUCAUAUCGUAUCGUGUCAUAUCGUAUCGUGUCAUAUCGUAUCGUGUCAUAUCGUAUCGUGUUAUAUUGUAUUAUAAUGUAUCAUAUUGUAUCGUAUCGUGUCAUAUUGUAUCGUAAUGUAUUAUAUUGUAUCGUAUCGUAUCAUAUUGUAUCGUAUCGUGUCAUAUUGUAUCGUAAUGUAUUAUAUUGUAUUGUAUCGUAUAGUAUCGUAAUGUAUUAUAUUGUAUCGUAUUGUAUCAUGUUACAACCCACCAUACCAUACUGUAUAGUAUCAGAGUUGGAAUACUAAGUGCAAUAUCUCAAAUGCUUAAGUACUGCUUAUUGUCUAUUUACCUUCUUAUUCAUAAUUUCUUUAUUUUCAAGGCAAUCAUUAAACAUUUCAUGUUUAUCAUACAACAAGGAUGAAAAUGUAAUUUAAAGAAAAUGCAUUUUAUAGAUUUAAUAACCUUACAACAUAAUAAGUUUAAAUUUCUGUAAAUAAGUUUUAGAGAAAUUUAUCAAAACUUUAAAAAUCAUAUUCAUGUAGUCAGUCUGCAUCAUUGUAUCACUGUUGAUCAAAACUCGAAUGUAAAGAUUUCACUUAUAGUUGGUUGUGGUGUGAUGAAUAAUACGAGCACACCCACCCUGUCCAUUCCUCAUGCUUUUUUUUUUUUUUUUACAGGUAAAGAGGUUUAGUCAGGUCAAGGUAUUUGCAAAGCUGCACAUGAGCAACACCACCUGAGGAGAGAAAUGACUGGUUUUAGGGCUGACUUGAUGAUCCAGGUGAUGAGAGCACACAUGGUUUUCAGUGUUACAGAGUCACGUCCUAAAUGGCUCCCAUGUACCUGUUCCCCACAUGCACAGUAAUACAGUGGUCUCUGAACUUGUUGUUAGGAUGUGUGACAUAGUUUGGCCCAUUCGUCACUGGUACAAAGCAGACCUUAGAAUAAGGACACAUACCACACAUGAAAGUGAGAAAAUUCCUGGGUAAUUACAUCUGAAGUGUUUUUAGUUCCACCAUUAAUUGGUUACAGAUGAGCAAAGGUAUACACCAGUAAAAUAUGUCCGGACCAUCUCAAAAGAAUAUCAGCAGGAGAAGUAAGGUAUAUAGUUCCUCUUUGCUUUUGAAAUUUCUUGGAAGCCAACGUCAAAUCAGUUGCCAACAAGCCCUGGCGUACUGCCGCCUGUUAACAGACAGGUCUACAGCAGAGCAGUGCUCAGUGGAAUGCCAAACAUUUGUUUCAUAAGCUGAAAAAAGCCUGCUGAUUUUCCUCCCUCUCCUCCGCACAGAGCUCCUAGGAAGGGGGUCUCUCAGCCACCUGUGCAUAUUCAGCAUAGCAGAGGAGCGCGUCGGGCACAGGGAGUAAUGUACUGAAGGAAUGUCGUCCCACAGAGCAGCCACUCAAUAAAGGGGGGGUGUGAGGAAUUUUCUUUAGCGCACACAGGAUAUUACUGUACAUGUGUUUAACAUAAACUGCUGUCAAAGGCUGUACUGGCCAACCGCAACUGCUUGUCAAAUCCUAAUCCAGAGCAAUUUUCCACUGUUUUUAGAUGAUUUGGACAAAUGGAGUAGACUUGCUUCAAGCUCUUAAAGCGGUCUGCACUUGCUCCAGAAGCUCUCCGGAGAUCACUGACCUGAAACCAUCAGCUAAACAUAAACCGAAUUGAGCCUUUGCUGCUUGAGUGGGAGCAUUAAAUAUGUUUGAAUACUUAAUUUGUGCACAUCUCUCUGAGUAGCAUUGUGGUACAGUUAAAGGGGUUUAUCUUUUCUUUGCAAAGUAAGCAAAAAUUUGUUAUACACUUUUUGAUUCGUCUGAUCAAAAAGCAACGUCUGGUCUUGAAACUUGAAGUAUUCAUUAGGGUUAAUGUUAAAAUGCAGUUAGAAAUAUUAACAGCCUUUUAAAAAAAACAGAGCACACCCUUGUUUGUGUGUGUUUGUGUUGCUGGGGGUCAAUUUGUAUAUGUUGCGUUAAUUUCUAUUACACUGAGGUUAGGGGUUACACAUACAUUUGCAUAAAUACAUGAUUUGAGCCCAAAAACCUCCUUGUGAAAAUUGUGAUAACUCUUAUUUUUUCUUCCCAGUGGUUUUGUUUCACACAGUCUUUGGUUCUAUCAGUUUGAUUAAGUCUGUAUUUGGGACUAAAAUAAGAGAGGAUAGUAUGUAAAGUAUUUUCAAUCACUUGGAGUGUACAGAGUAUGUCUGGGUCAGUCGCUGAGUUGUUUCUCUGCAUGUAUGCUCCCCUCACUCUCAAACACCAACCAACAUUUUCUCUUUUCUUACCUAGAUUGUGAGUCGCCAAAGGGAAUCCAGCUUUCUGUGUGUGUGCAGGAACAACAUAUGGUAUGUAAGUGUGUUGGAGUAAGGUGGGGGGGUCUAUUUAGGAAUGAGACUGCCGCAGAUCACAUGACAAGUCUGG